GUCGUUGUAGUUUAAUCGGAAUAGAACACCUGACUUUCAAUCAGGAUGAUGUGGGUUCGAAUCCCAUCAGCGAUACCA
rnacentral:tRNA from 1 species